rnacentral:rRNA from 1 species
UACGUAGGGUGCGAGCGUUAAUCGGAAUUACUGGGCGUAAAGCGUGCGCAGGCGGUUUUGUAAGCCAGAUGUGAAAGCCCCGGGCUCAACCUGGGAAUGGCAUUUGGGACUGCAAGGCUGGAGUUUGGCAGAGGAGACUGGAAUUCCUGGUGUAGCAGUGAAAUGCGUAGGUAUCAGGAGGAAUACCGAUGGCGAAGGCAGGUCUCUGGGCUAUAACUGACGCUCAUGCACGAAAGCGUGGGGAGCAAACAGG